AUUGAACGCUGGCGGCAGGCCUAACACAUGCAAGUCGAGCGGCGAGGGGGAAGGGGGAGUAUUGCCUGGGGAUCUGCCUGUUAGUGAGGGAUCACGUCCGGAAAGGGGAGCUAUUACAGCAGACUAUCAGAUGAGCCUAGGUGGGAGUAGCUAGAUGGUGGGGUAAAGGCCUACCAAGGCGACGAUCCGUAACUGGUCUGAGAGGAUGAUCAGUCACACUGGAACGGAGACACGGUCCAGACUCCUACGGGAGGCAGCAGUGGGGAAUAUUGGACAAUGGGCGAAAGCCUGAUCCAGCCAUGCCGCGUGUGUGAAGAAGGUCUUCGGAUUGUAAAGCACUGUAAGUUGGGAGGCGUUAUCAACAGAAUAAGCACCGGCUAACUUCGUGCCAGCCGCCGCGGUAAUUC
rnacentral:rRNA from 1 species